rnacentral:miRNA from 1 species
UUUCGAAGGCCAAGGCGGGAGGAUCACUUGAGCCCAGAAAUCUGAGACCAGUCUGGGCAACAAAGUGAGACCCCCAUCUCUACAAAAA